UCCUUUCCGCUGCUCCCUGACCUGCUCUUUGGGGCUGGUGGUGGGCUUCCCCCCGCCAGCCCCAAAGAGCAGGUCAGGGAGCAGCGGAAAGGC